GACGAACGCUGGCGGCGUGCCUAAUACAUGCAAGUAGGACGCAGUUGCGAAAGGGUGAGUAACGCGUCGGUCACUACAUAUGAGAGGGGGAUAACUAUUGGAAACGAUAGCUAAUACCGCAUACUAGUAGAUGGACCUUGUUUGUAUUAGCUAGUAGGUAGGGUAAUGGCCUACCUAGGCAACGAUACAGAACCGAACGGGGAGGGGUGUCGGCCACACGGGGACUUGGAACCGGGCCAGACCCCUAAGGGAGGUAUCAGUAGGGAAGCUUCGGCAAUGGGGGGAACCCUGACCGAGCAACGCCGCGUUGGGGAAGAAGUGUUUCGGAUCGUAAAGCUCUGUUGUGAAGGAAGCGGUACUUACCCAGAAAGGGACGGCUAACUACGUGCCAGCAGCCGCGGUAAUAC
rnacentral:rRNA from 1 species